CCUACGGGUGGCUGCAGUGGGGAAUCUUGGACAAUGGGGGCAACCCUGAUCCAGCCAUGCCGCGUGAACGAUGAAGGCCUUAGGGUUGUAAAGUUCUUUCAGCAGGGAAGAUAAUGACGGUACCUGCAGAAGAAGCCCCGGCUAACUCCGUGCCAGCAGCCGCGGUAAUACGGAGGGGGCUAGCGUUGUUCGGAAUUACUGGGCGUAAAGCGCGCGUAGGCGGAUUGUUAAGUCGGGGGUGAAAUCCCGGGGCUCAACCCCGGAACUGCCUCCGAUACUGGCAGUCUAGAGGUCGAGAGAGGUGAGUGGAAUUCCGAGUGUAGAGGUGAAAUUCGUAGAUAUUCGGAGGAACACCAGUGGCGAAGGCGGCUCACUGGCUCGAUUCUGACGCUGAGGUGCGAAAGCGUGGGGAGCAAACAGGAUUAGAUACCCUUGUAGUC
rnacentral:rRNA from 1 species